rnacentral:lncRNA from 1 species
CUAGCUCGUGGAGGGUGGGGAGGGCUGCCCGAAACACACACACAGAGCUCAGAACGCAUGCGGCCCUGAGGGCGUGUGGAUAAAUGGCUACUUUGCUAUCACCCACAGAGCCUUCAAGGGCAGGGUGUCAGGCAUCCAGGGAAAGGGAAGACACUUCCACCAACUGGCGAGCCCACACUGCCACAGCAGAGAGCCAAGAGGGCCUUUGAGACUCAAACGGAGAGGCAAACGUGGAUCCCUUACCUGCUCACUGGAGAAUCCAAAGGCUUCGCUACAGCAGAGAAGCCCUGUGCGUGGCUGGGCUGAGCUUUGGUGCCACGGUCCCAUGUCUGAAGCCUGGAGUGGCCACAGGGCACUUCUGAUCUCCUCACAGGCCUCAGUUUCUUCAUCAGUGAAACCAGCGUGGAUAAGAAUGGUGUUACCUGCAGAGAUGUUGGGCUCAGAGAUGGGCAAGAUCAUGGAAGCAGAGCAUUAGCCCCUAGGAUGUUGGGUGUGUGUUUGCUGCUGUUACAACGGCUGCGGGUAGGUGAACCCAUUUGUGUAAAGUUCAGCUGGAAUUGAGCAACUCUGUUUUGGUCAUGAUCAGCAAUCCUGCUCCAAAACACAUGGCUCCCACCUGGGUACCUCCCCUCCCUUCCUCUGGCACUGAGGGCUGCCAAGGUCAGGGGUUUCAGAAGGUGGCAGGGAGAAUCAGCAGAGCCUCCACUGCCGUCAGCCAGCACCGCCCUGCAUCCAAACGACACAAGCAGUGGUAAGGCCUCCUGGGUGGGUCAGCUGGCAAGGAGCCCUGCCCUUGCUGUGGGCUCUGGGGGCGGCCACAGCCACUCUACAGC